GGUUGUGGCUCAAGGUAGAGCACUUGCCUAGCAUGUGCGAGGCCCUGGGUUCGAUCCUCAGCACCA
rnacentral:tRNA from 1 species